rfam:Kyrpidia tusciae DSM 2912, complete genome.
UUGCUGCGAUGAAGCAAAAGGUUGCCGAUGUGCCGGGCCAUAUGGGCACCAAUCGGGGAAUUUUUGCGGAGUAGGUCCAGAGAAUUGGGCGACAA